UACGGGAGGCAGCAGUGGGGAAUAUUGCACAAUGGGCGCAAGCCUGAUGCAGCCAUGCCGCGUGUAAUGAAGAAGGCCUUCGGGUUGUAAAGUACUUUCAGUCGUGAGGAAGGUGUUAAGGUUAAUAACCUUAGCAAUUGACGUUAGCGACAGAAGAAGCACCGGCUAACUCCGUGCCAGCAGCCGCGGUAAUACGGAGGGUGCGAGCGUUAAUCGGAAUUACUGGGCGUAAAGGGCACGCAGGCGGUUAAUUAAGUUGGAUGUGAAAUCCCCGGGCUUAACCUGGGAAUGGCAUUCAAGACUGGUUAGCUAGAGUCUUGUAGAGGGGGUAGAAUUCCAUGUGUAGCGGUGAAAUGCGUAGAGAUGUGGAGGAAUACCGGUGGCGAAGGCGGCCCCUGGACAAAGACUGACGCUCAUGUGCGAAAGCGUGGGGAGCAAACAGGGAUUAGAUACC
rnacentral:rRNA from 1 species